rnacentral:rRNA from 1 species
AAACUAAAUGGCUGCAGUAACUAUGACUGUAUGAAUGUAGCAUAAUCACUCGCCACUUAAUUAGUGGAUAGUAUGAAUGGUUAAACGAAAAUUUCUCUGUCUUAUGUAAUUAAAAAAAAAUUUAAAUCAUAGUUAAGAUGCUAUGUAAAUUGUAAGACGAAAAGACCCUAUAAAGCUUAACUAUAAUCUUUUAUAUUAUAAUUAAACAACAAUAAAAUAAAAGAUUGGUAGUUUCAUUGGGGCGAUGGUCUCUAAAAAAAAACAGAGAUAAACUAUAUUAAUAAUAAAAAAUUUACUGUUUAAUAAAUAAAUUUAACAGUUACUAAUUAGGUUAUAAAGACCCAUUAUUAUCUAUAAAAAGAAAUAAUGAUCAAAAAAUAAAAACUACUUUAGGGAUAACAGGAUAAUAUUUUCUAAGAGUCCUUAUCAAAAAAAAAGUUAAUCACCUCGAUGUUGAAUUAAGAUAACCUAAUGACGCAGC